UGUGAGAAAAACACGCGUGAGUUCUCUCUUUCUCGGAAUAACGUCUGAGCUAAAGAGUUGAAGAACUGAUCUGAAGAACUGAAGUCAAAGAACUGAUUUCGUCAAGCGUGUGUUCGAUUCUCUUCUCCGAUAACAAUUUCGUCAAGCAAGAGGAGAAUAAGAAGGAAUUGAUAAUUUUGGGGUUGUUGGCUAAGAACACGAUUUCAGACAGAACUGAAGCUAGGAACACGAUUUCAGACCGAACUGAAGAGCUCAACAGCUAAAGAUAUUCUCGCUGAAGGACACGAUUUACAUCAUAGUUCUCGCUGAAAAUAGGAUUUUGUUGGAAUAGGGUUUAUCAGAAAGACUGAGGAGCUUGAAUUGAAGAAGACGCAACAAGAAACCAAAGCUAUUGAAACUUCAAGGAAAGUUAUUCCAUCAAUGUGGCAGGAAAUGUGCAAGAAACAAUUAAUGAUAGCCAAUUCAGAUUUCAUGGAAAAUAUGGAGGUAUUCUAAUUAAUCAACCUAUAUGUAUGUUAUUGCCUUGCAUGUGGAAUUAGAUGCAACUCACACUUCCAUAAUUUCAUAUUAUGCUGUAACUCACAUUUGAGAUACACAACUCAAUCAUUUCUGAUGUCUCUAAUGUAAUCCAUCAAAAAUGCACUAUUUCCCCUCUAUAGUUCUCUGAGUUUUUAUUUCUAGCUAGUUAGGGUGAAGGGGAAAGGGAGAGGUGGGGCUGAAUUAUGUUUCAUUAGUGAGGAAGUAGAGAGAUUCAUGGUACUGUAAGAUAUGCAUGUUACCGUAGGAGUCGUGAUAUUUUUAGUACUAGUAAUUUCUGUCGACUGUUAAAUGUUAAUUGGGUGAUGAAUACAGAAAAAGUUUCUGAACAUUGUGUCUAAAAUGGAAGAAAAAGAUAACGUGAUCACAACAUUUAUGUUGUUGGCUAAACAAUUUGCUGAAGUUAAGAGAAAGGAAAUGGAACAAGGAAGUGAGAAACAGGGAGUACAAGCAGUAGAUGUAGCAAUGGAGAGAUCAAAUGAUCAAGGCAAGGAGCUAACAAUAAUUAAAUUAAAAAUUUGGUCCAAACACCACCCUCAGUCUCUUCUUCUACUGCCAUAGCUCCUCUUUCAUUGCUGCCUUACACUAAUAAUUUUCAUAACAACAACCUAGCAUUCCCUGUCAAGCCUGUCCCUGAAAGACGAAUAGUCACUGUUACUGUCUCCACCAUAUCUGGUGAAACAUGCUAUGAAGCUGGGAUAACAUGAUGAACUACUCAACUGGAAACAAGACAACAACUCUCAUCAACAUAAAUGAUGUCCCUCGUAACGUUGGUGAAGGAUUUCUCCAUGCCCGAACAUCAAGACAAACUAUAACCACAACAACUACCGUCACACCUCAUAUGAGUAAAGCACAACAAGUUUUAGGUGAUAACAGGGAUAGCAAAGUUAGCAUCAGCAGGAAGGAGUACAAUCAUCAACAAGCAAGCAAAUAUUGUUCUUCUUAAGAAAUUUUUGUUUAACAGAACUGCCUGAUCGCACUAGUGCCUUGUAGCUACCAGUGACUAAGGAUAGCAAGUCCAAAGAAGAGAAUCACAAACUGCUGAAUGGAAAUUCGGGAGAUCCAGCAGAAUGGGUAUAGAGGUUUAUGCAUUUUCCAUCCUAGGGAUUAUAGCUUUUCUGUCACUAUUGUAUAAGUUUGAAUACAUUAUAUUUGAUUUUGUGAAAUAUAUUCAUUGCUAGAAUAUAUUGAACCAUUGUAAGAGUAUUUUUUGAACUAUUGUGUAAACAUAUUUAGAAUAUUGCUUUAUAAGUAUGUGUAUGUACACAAGA